AAAUAUAAUUUCUCUCUCUCUCUAGCAGAUAUAUCAACUCCAUCCCUGGGGACAUACUUCCUUGUCCUGGGACAUCAUGCCUGGGCUACUAAGAGAUUAAGGAGCUGACAGAUGUAGGUGCUGAUGGAAAGCCUUGCACAAGGAGGGGUUUGGAUGGAGGCUGUACCCUUGGCAUGACUCCUGCAGCUGACGGAUCAAGAAGAGGAUUGUAGCUUCCUGAGAAAGAAGGCAAACCAAUAAGUGUCUCACCUGUGGACAGCAGCCCAGGUACGCUUCAGCCGGUAGAUGGAGUUGGACUGCAGAGCAGACAAGAUGGCAUGGAGUGAGGAGAAGUUGCGGAGGGCCCGGCACCGCUGGAGAGCCAAGGACAUCCUGCAGCCCAUUUUGCUCUAGUUUUCCAAUGAAUAUCUCAUUGAGUUACAACCAAUUCAACAUAUUUUGUGGCAGCCACAAAAACAAAGUUUCUGGAGUAUAACAACUACGUUCAAACUCUGAUUUUUUAGUUGCGAAACCUACCCUCAUACCUUUGCCAUCUUGACCAUAUAGGGACAUUUUAAAAUCAGAUGAACUAUAUGGAAUGAUUGAGAAGUCAUCAGGUCUGCACCUUUCAAAUGAAGAAGGUUGAGGAGCAUGACUUAUAGGGGCUAUCCUGCACUUCAAACUUUACUGCUGUAGAAUUUAUGAAGCUUCCCCUCCCACCCAUCUGGCAAAACCAUCACCUGUUUAACUUUCCCAUGGAUGACUAUUUACAGGCACACAAGAAAGGAGGCAAGUGGUGUCCUGUUUCUAGUGUUAUCAAUACACAAGACAGCAGCUUGGAUUUUAGUACCGGUGACUGCUUCCUUAUUCCCUUACAAUGAAAUUGGGAUACUGAUCCAGGAUCAAAGUUAAAUCUCCUUCCACUUCUGCAGAAGUAGGACCUAAGGACACAGACAAAAAGUGGGGAAGUAAUAUCAAAUGAGCCUUGGGGGCAGGAUCUCUAAACACUUGGUCUCCUUACCCCUAUCCACUCAUUUCUGCUUCUCUCCUGUGACCUUCCCUGACAUUUCCUACUGGGCUGAGUGGCCUGACCGGUCUAACAAGAGAUGGAAAUCUAACACCACCACCAUCCACAUCCUGCCUGCCCUGUGCCAGGCAAAGCCAACCCCUACACGUCCAUUAGCUGUCAUUAGGCAAUGUGUGUGUGUAUAUAUACAUACAUAUCAAAACCACCACAGCACAAUAGUUUAGAAGAAUGUCUUUCCACGACUAUGUUUUUCUAAAUGCUGUGGCUCGGUAUCAGCUGGAAACAUACUCUUGCCAUGUUAUUUUUGUAACAAGAAAAUAAAUACCUUAGGAUCAGUGACUGUGGCACCUUUGAAUUAUUGGCACGUGAAACAGAGUGCAAAGUAAUUUCAGGUGUUUUCACUAAACUGCAGUAUUGUUAUUGAACACAGGAUUCCCCCAUCCCAAAAGAUUAAUAGUUUUCCAAGGACUUUAAGACAGAAUGAAAUAAAACGGCAUCCUUUCUUUUACAUGAAGCCCUCCCGACCCCACAGCAGAACAGCAGCAGCUAAUCUUCCUCCAGAGGGGUCAAUUUUUCCACAUUUACACUUUUAGACAUAGCCCUUUAACCUGCGCUAGAAUGAAUCAGCGCAUAUCCCAGGGAGCCCGGUCUCUUUAAUCUGUACUGGUCCAAGUUCAAGUCCAUAUCCCAUGUAGCUGAGUCUGUCACCGUGGGCUUCCCUUGUCGGGUCUGGGGAUCUUUAAUCUGUGCUAGUUCCGACCCAGUACGUAUUCUGUGGAGCACAGACUCUUUAAUAUGUGCUGAUCUGGAGUAGCACACAUCCCAUAGAACCAGCCUGUGGCCAGAGGUCUCUCCAAGGACAACUAAAUAUCCAGUCUAUAAAAUAAAAUGUAUCUUUUAAACUAAAAUGUAUCUUUUAAACUAAAAUGUAUCUUCUUACAUGGACUUCCUGACAGUUUCUAUCCUUGGCUCUACUUUACCCUAUGUAUCCUUAUUUUACUCUGAUCAUAUGUACCUCCGCUGAUCCUGAUAUGCGCAUCUGCGCAGGAGUUAAAUAAUCAAAUGGAAAAGGUAUAUAUGAGGGUUAUCCAGAAAGAUUACAUUUUGGAAUUAAAAAUGAACAAAGUUUAGGAGAAAACAUUUACCAUAUG